rnacentral:lncRNA from 1 species
GGAAUCUGGGGUUCAGGGCCUGUCUACCGCCUCCCACCUUCUUUGCUGCUCUCCCUUGCAAGUGUCCUCUCUGCUCGUGUGUAUGUGUGUGUGUGUGUGUGUGUGUGUGUCUGUCUGUCUGUCUGUCUGUCUGACGGCCUCCUCUGUAGCCUCAUCUCCCUUCACCCUGCACCAUUUUUCUUUCUCUUCUCUUUCCUUUCCAGGCACGUGGGUUUUCUUGAUUCUAAAAGCAAGGCAUCCAUCUUCAUGAACGCUUAGAAAAUACAGAGAAGCACACAGAAAACAAUAGAUGUCCCCAAGAGUCGCUUUUCCCCAAAGGAGGGGCCCCUUAGGUCGUGCUGGGUGGACCCUCCGUGGUGUGCACCCUGGGCCUCCACCUGUGCUUGCCCCUGCUCCUGCCUGGGCUCCUCGCUGCCCUCUCUGCUUCUCUUGGGGAGUCUCUGUCCCCGUCUCUGUCCCCUCUCUCUGGUCUCCUUGGCGCCUCUCUGGGCUCUUGGGCCCUGCUCUCACCUGAGGCUCCGCCCGCCUCCAUGGGUCUCACUCUGAAGCCCCGCCCGCCUCCAUGGGUCUCACUCUGAAGCCCCGCCCGCCUCCAUGGGUCCCUCUCACUCUGAAGCCCGGCUUCUCGGUCGCUGUCGGCCUCUUUGCCUGCCCUUCCCGCCUCCCUGUCCCUGCAGCCUUUGAAUUGCCACCUUGCCUUUGCCUCGCCCCGUGUGCACACGCGUGUCCCCCACAUGCUUCCUGCUGCCGCGUGUCCCCCCUGUGUCGCCUCUCUGCUCUCCAAGGGGCACUCCCAUUCAUAAGUUCUGCUCAUUCAAAAAACAGAGCGUCAUUUCCCCCAAGUUGCUGGCUCUGGCUCGGGAAGCUCUAUUACCUCUGUAAUAAGAAAAGUGCCGCCGCCGCCGCCGCCACCGGGUGGGGAGCCCAGCGGUGUCCUUGCUGACGCCAGGCCCUGUGGCCCUGCGGGGGGGGGGGGGGGAGCGUCGGUGGGUCUCUAGCCCUCGGUCCGCUUAUCCUCUCUCCUCUUCUCUCUCCUUUUCUCCCUUGGAGAUUUCUGGAAUCCCCUGUCCCUGCUCAUGCUGGAGCCUAAAGAAAGGAGCUGCGUGGCGGAGUGAGUGUGUCGGGCGCUCCUCUGCAGCCGGCUGGGCUUUGUUCCCUGCGUGGACAAUUUCGUUCUCUUAGAAAUGACACUUAUUGUUUUCCUGCAGCUUCCCAUGGAGGACACGUUGGCUGCAGAGCAGGCCGAGAAGGCCCAGAUGCACGUGCAGAGGAAUGUAAGAUAAAAUCCCUGCAAUCCCACCUCCCAGACGCAGAGAAAGGGGCCGCGGGGACGGGGACAUUGGGGACUGGGCACCAUCUCUUUUUGUAUCUGUGCAUCUCUCCUUUCUCCAUGGGCGCCUUUGUGGGUUCCGUUUCGCUCUCUUCUCGCUUAUUCAUCCCUCAACAGCACUUGGGGACCCUGCUUGGGCUGCCCGGUGCAUCUUGUCAGCCUGUCUGACGGGCUUUGUCCGAAAGCUCCGUCCAUCCGACAUCCCUCUCCCCGGGCUGUGUGAACUGGGGGGCUGAACAGAGGUCCUGAGCAGAAAGAAAUAACUGGAGGGGAAGAAAGACCCCUCCUCCCUCCCCUCUCUCUCCUGCCCCUCCCUCUGGACGCAGGGACAGGGGCUUAAGUCCCCCAGUCCCUUGUGCUGUCCCACCUUUGUUCUCAGUUCUUUUUUUUUUUUUUUAAUAUUUUUUUAGUUGUAGAUGGACACAAUACCUUUAUUUUAUUUAUUUAUUUUUUUAUGUGGUGCUGAGGAUCGAACCCAAAGCCUCACUGAGCCACAACCCCAGCCAAGGGACAGACAAGAGGAUAAGGGCGCUGGGGCUGGGGUGGAGGGCACGGCCCCCCGGGGUACACAGGACGGGGCUCUGCAGUGCUUCCCUGUGGGCUGGGAGCUGGGGGUGGACAGGGUGGAGGAGGGGCUUCACACUUGCCUCAUCCCGGGCUGCUGGAAGGUUCCAGGUUCGAGGCUCCUGGGGGGCAGGAGUGGGGCAGUCUGGACCCUGCCCGCCCCUUUGGGAAGCUGGGCUUGGUCCCUGCAUGUCUGACUGUCCCUGCGCCUCGGCCUCUCACCCUGACACAGUAGACAAGCCCGUGGCUCAAAUCUUGCCACAGUCCUUAGGCAAACGACGUUCCCGGAGCCGUCUUCACCUGCAAAGUGAACAAUAAGCGCUUUGAGACUAACCGCCUCGGCUCACAGGAAGACGCUCCACCCGCACAGGCGUGCACAGGUGCUGGCCCUGCAGCUGGGGGGCCCUGUGUGUCUCCCCUCCCCCACGCUGGUCUCAGUGGCUUCGCUCUAGGCCCAUCUCCCCCCACCCCAGUGGGGCUCUCCACCCUCACGGACCCCUGUCCCUGGCCCCUGAGGGCUGAGGCACCUGGGGCCCUGCCUGACCUCUGUCUUCCGCCCCCUAGGCUUGAGCAGCACUGCUUCCUGCCACUCUGUCCCCAGAACACCUCCCUGAAGUCCCUGUCCUCUCUUUCCCCUUAUCCUGGCCUGGUCUCUGUUGGUGCCCUCCCAACCCUGGUGUAGUCUUGGAGGUUUCCAGACCUCAGUGGGAGCCAUGGGGUGGUGGGUGGUGGUGUGGGAGGGACAGUGAUCAGAGGGAAGGGUGACUGUGAGGGUCUCGUGCUGUCAUGACGUCUCAGCCUACAGUGACCCAGAACCAGCUCUGCCCCCUCUCCGCCCCCAGCCCAGCUGUGGUCGCACAGGAGGGGUGUUGCGGGGGCGGGGGGCUCAGUUCCCUGCUGUCUGGAUGGUGCCCCUCUCACUGGCCACAGUGAGAUUGGAGCAGGCACAUGCAGGACUCAGAGGGGGGCCUGGUGUGUGGCGCGAGCCUGGACGCGGCUCUGGCUGGGCGGUGGCUCUUUUCACUGUCUAACCUCACAGAUGAGGCUCAAGUGUCUGUGGCCACGUCCCCAGCACCUCCCCAGCCCCCGAAUGGGCCACUCAAAGCGACUUGUGUGCAGACCUGGCUGGGCAGGCCGAGGGAGGGACAGGUGGAGGCCGCGUGGACACAGGAGCCCCCGCACACAGGUGAGCAGCAGGACUGACCACGGGUGGAGGGACAGUGAAUCGACUCCAGAGACCUGCAGUGAGAAGAGAAGGCACAGGUCCCAGGGGUGGCAGACAAAGACCUUGCUGCGCAGACCCGGCCGACACAGACUGGGGCUCACAGGGGACCCUGAGGGGCUGCACCGGGAGCAGGCCAGCUGCGGCGCCUGGCAAAUGGCCUCAGGGGCUGGGAGGAGAGGGAGGCAGAGAUGGAGACCCCCAGAGGGCAGGGGCGUCCUGGAAAGAGGC